rnacentral:rRNA from 1 species
UACGUAGGGGGCAAGCGUUGUCCGGAUUUAUUGGGCGUAAAGAGCGUGUAGGCGGCCAAACAGGUCAGCUGUGAAAACUCGAGGCUCAACCUCGAGACGUCGGUUGAAACCGUUUUGCUAGAGUCCGGAAGAGGAGAGUGGAAUUCCCGGUGUAGCGGUGAAAUGCGCAGAUAUCGGGAAGAACACCCGUGGCGAAGGCGGCUCUCUGGGACGGUACUGACGCUGAGACGCGAAAGCGUGGGGAGCGAACAGG